rnacentral:rRNA from 1 species
UCUAAUGGGACUGCCGGUGACAAACCGGAGGAAGGUGGGGAUGACGUCAAGUCCUCAUGGCCCUUAUAGGUGGGGCUACACACGUCAUACAAUGGCCGGUACAGAGGGUAGCCAACCCGCGAGGGGGAGCCAAUCCCACAAAGCCGGUCGUAGUCCGGAUCGCAGUCUGCAACUCGACUGCGUGAAGUCGGAAUCGCUAGUAAUCGCGGAUCAGCAUGUCGCGGUGAAUACGUUCCCGGGUCUU